AACGCACGAGACCUGCGGACCUGCGGAGGGAUCAUUACUGAGAAACUGCCCCUCGCGGGUAGAUCUCCCACCCUUUGUAAACUUACCUUUGUUGCUUUGGCAGGCCCGUCUCCGGACCGCCGGCUUCGGCUGGCCAGUGCCUGCCAGAGGAUUCUAAAACUCUGUCUGUCAGUGUUGUCUGAGUCUAUAUACAAUCGUUAAAACUUUUAACAACGGAUCUCUAGAUCGGAAGAGCACACG
rnacentral:misc_RNA from 1 species